rnacentral:rRNA from 1 species
GACGAACGCUGGCGGCGUGCCUAAUGCAUGCAAGUCGAGCGGGCUACGAUCUUCGGAUUGUAGCUUAGCGGCGAACGGGUGAGUAACACGUAGGUAAUCUACCCUUCAGAGGAGGACAACCUCAGGAAACUGAGGCUAAACCUUCAUACGUUCACUGGUAGGGAUACUGGUGAAGAAGGAGUUACCUUAGUGGUAGCUGCUGAAGGAUGAGCCUGCGGCCCAUCAGGUAGUUGGUGAGGUAACGGCUCACCAAGCCGACGACGGGUAGCCGGUCUGAGAGGAUGGCCGGCCACAAGGGCACUGAGAGACGGGCCCUACUCCUACGGGAGGCAGCAGUGGGGGAUUUUGGACAAUGGGCGAAAGCCUGAUCCAGCGACGCCGCGUGGAGGACGAAGCCCUUCGGGGUGUAAACUCCUUUUCUCAGGGAAAAAGGAUGAUGGUACCUGAGGAAUAAGCCCCGGCUAACUACGUG